UGAGUAACACGUAUCCAACCUGCCGUCUACUCUUGGCCAGCCUUCUGAAAGGAAGAUUAAUCCAGGAUGGCAUCAUGAGUUCACAUGUCCGCAUGAUUAAAGGUAUUUUCCGGUAGACGAUGGGGAUGCGUUCCAUUAGAUAGUAGGCGGGGUAACGGCCCACCUAGUCAACGAUGGAUAGGGGUUCUGAGAGGAAGGUCCCCCACAUUGGAACUGAGACACGGUCCGA
rnacentral:rRNA from 1 species